UACGGGGGGAGCAAGCGUUGUUCGGAUUUACUGGGCGUAAAGGGCGCGUAGGCGGCCACCGCAAGUCGAUUGUGAAAUCUCCGGGCUUAACCCGGAAAGGUCAACCGAUACUGCGGGGCUAGAGUGCAGAAGGGGCAACUGGAAUUCUCGGUGUAGCGGUGAAAUGCGUAGAUAUCGAGAGGAACACCUGCGGCGAAGGCGGCACUCUGGGGGUCUUCUGACGCUGAGGAACGAAAGCCAGGGGAGCGAACGGG
rnacentral:rRNA from 1 species